AUUCUACUCCCUCUAUUCCACAAUACAUGCCUUCUAUUUGUCAAAAUAUAGAUGUAUCUAGACAUGUUUUAGUAUAUAGGUACAUCCAUUUUUGGACAAAUGGAAGUCAAGUAUUUUGGAAUAGAGGGAGUACAUA
rfam:Triticum aestivum genome assembly, contig: Triticum_aestivum_CS42_TGACv1_scaffold_516588_6BS